rnacentral:lncRNA from 1 species
CCCCUCCCUCUAGGCCUUGUACCCAGUGCUAGCACACCAUUGCUGCCCGACGUUCCAUUUCUGCACAUGUGAAUAUUGUGGAGACACUAUUGCUAUUGCUACGGUGUUGAUUGGUGAUGAAUGCGAGGCAAAUGAACAAGGGGGGCGGAUGUGUGUGUUGUUGCUGGGGCCCGAGAAUGUAUACCUACUUCCACUACAUCGAUGCGCAUGACAUUGGGCCAGACUACAUCUCUUCUUCUGCUAUGUUGCGUGUUUAGCGAUAAUGAUCUAUGGCCACCUACUCAUAUGUUGUCUAAUGCAAAAUGAAGAUUAUUAUUUUGUACUGAUGCAGUGUCCCUGUUUCCCUACAUCAACCUCCCUCUACGACUAACCCUAGCUGCCAAACAUGAAACUUCCUCAGGGCCAGUGAUUCAACACCCGAGGAACUCGAAAGCAUCCGCAAGGUGCGGACGUGUAGGAUGGUUUUCUUAUUGCUAAGACCGCCUAGUGCACCCUCAAUAGUAUGAGCUAAGUAUUAGCUAUAAGGCAACAUCUCCAAUGGUGUUAACUUUUAGCAAUAACUUGGAAUAUAAUUAGGCCCCACGCGUGACAACCUCACAUGAUCUUAAAAUGUGUGUAUGAGAUUAACUUAAUUAGUCCCACUUGACAACGUCUUGCUUUUAUUAAAUUCUAAAAUAAAAUACUUAGAGGUAGCUCGUAACUCAUUGUUAGAUGUGCCUUAGGGGGUGUUUAGAUGCUUUUAGAAUGGCAAACCUUUUGGCCUUAAUCUUUUGCUGCAAAACUUUUGCUCAUUCAAACUUUAUAUCUUAGUGUUUAGAUGCACGAUAAAGCUUUAGCCAUGCAGACACAACACGUGUCCCAUGACAUUUUUGCCCAAUUUUAGACCUCUUGAGUCCCAAAUGUCAAAAGUUUAGUAGCCUAAGUUUUGCUCUUUUUGCCUAUGCUAUUAAAAUCCAUUUUGCCAAAAGAUAAGCUAAAACAGCAAAAGUUUUGGCAAAAAAGAGAAAUUAAACAACCCAGAGAGGAUAGAGGAUAGGCUCAUUACAUAAAAAAAAGAUAUGGAAAUAGCCAUAAUACAUAAUAAAAAAGAAAAAAAAAGGAGCGGGAGAGCCAAAUGAAUCGAAAGAUUCAUGUUUGGUUCGGGAAGAGAUCAUAAAAAUUGUAAAAUUAAUAGCAAGAUAAUCUACUUUCAUUAAAAGAUUUAUUAGAUAAUCGAAAACAGAGGAUCUUAAGUACUAUUCGAAAUUCGGAAGAUUCCAGAAUUUCUACAAUAAAUUAGAUAGGUAGCUAAGCUAAUCUAGUUCUCUAUACACGAGUCUGUUGUCGUUCUACUGCAAUAGUUGUACUAGAAUGAUGAAUACCUUGAGCAGGUAAAAUAGAAAGAAGAGUAGGUAGAAAUAGAAAGAAUUUUGUCUUUACUAAUGUCAAUGAGCCGAGCCUACAUUUUAGCUCGUUAAUUUAAAGAGAAGCUUGAGCUAGCAAGCGAGUAAUAAGUUAAGUGAUGAGCCAAGCACCUCAUAGUCCUAUAGCCUAAACAAAAGCAACAAUUAUGCUUGUUGUUUCUUACAAUAUAUUUAUUGGAUUCGAAUUCUAUAGGGAUGCAUGUAUCCUAUCCUAUCCUAUCGCAUUGUACAAAAGCCCUAACAAGCCAAGCCAGCCGUCGUCGGCCGUCGCUACGGACGAGAAAGAGCGUCCUAGCUAGAGCAGCGAAGCCGGGCGGUAGCCCUUGUUGCAGCCUCGAAGGAUCGGAGCUAGCUGCAGCUGCCACCAAAAGGCCUGAGAGCAUGGUCAACGGCCGCCGAGGACGGCGGUCCGUUGGUCGGGUGGCGUCCGUCCUGCACGCACGGCCGUAAAUGGCCCGGAGCCCACCGCGUGAUUCUCGCCGGAGCGCAAGCACGCUCCCGUUCGUCUGCCGUGCCGGUCUCCCCGCCCCGUCUAUCGGCUUAUGCAUCCGAUAGAUCCAUCCGUACGUCGAAUGCAUGAUCCACCGAUCGCGCGCAUUCGCGCAGAUUGGCAGCAAGCGCGUGUCGACUUGUUGCUAUGGCCAUCUGACUAGACUUUGGACUGGGAAACCGCCGCUCUGCUGCUGUGCUGUAGUACUAGUUGGGCACCAGUGACAGCACGGGAUGGAUUUUUUUUGGCAGCGGUUAAAAAUCACUUUUCAGACGCCGCUUUGUACUGCUCUGUUUGAUGGACGAAGUAAUUCUUUUUUUUGUUACUGUGGCUACACGAGCAGCUAAGGCCUCUUUCGACAUAUACAUGAAUAUUAAAUAUAGACAAAAAAAUUAAAUUAAUUGUAUCAUUUGAUUAUAAAUCAUGAGACAAACCUUUUAAGCUUAAUUAGUCUAUAAUUAGCUAUAAUUGUUAUAGUAACCAACAUAUGUUAAUGACAGAUUAAUUAAGCUUAAUAAAUUUAUCUUGGAGUUUCCAGGUGAGCUAUUUAAUUUGUUUUUUUAUUAGUCUAGUUUAAAAUUUUAAAUAUGUGCCAACAUAUUUAAUAUGACACCCAAAAUUUUUCUUUUCGCGACCUAAGCAAGGCCUAAGUAGACGUGGGAGUUGAAAGUACUAUUUUGAAAAGGCAUUUGGUAAAGUAUAGAAAGAACUAAAAAAGCUAGUAUUUUCAGCUCCAUCUAGCACCCACCUCUUGUAAGAGCGGGUUCUUAAGAGUUUCACUCGAGGAGUCAUUUCAUUUUAUAUCAUUUAAAAAUAAAACAAUUCCAAAUAACUCAAGGAGUUAUGUGUCACUGUCGAAGGAGCAAUAGGUUGGCCGCACACUGGAGAAGAGGGCGCUGGUUGUGGAUCCCCCUAUGUUGGGGGAGAUGGUUUCUAUGGUGGAUCCUUGAUGAGGAAGGUGUCAGGUGUAUGUCCUGGGGGAGAAAAGCAUAUAGGUCCUUGACGAGGAGGGGAUGUCGGUGGGUGUGCAGGGCUCGAUGGGGAAGGAUAUCCUAGGAAAGGAAAGCGGAAGUCCGGAGAAUACGGCGGUUGUGUGAGAGAAGUCAUGGGCAGAAGCGGAGACCGGACGGAAAAGGAGUGUGCGCCUAUCAUAGUGGUGUUUUCCAAGCCUGAAACAAUGCCCUUGGGAAGGAGGGGUGAAUUUAUGAGGCCUCUCAAAUUUAAGCGCCCUAGUUGGGUUUUUAUUGAACUUUUUUUCUAGUUCUAGCUCUCAAAUUUGUUUUUGUGGGCCUAAGUAGAAUUUUUACUGAAGUUGCUCUGAAAAUCAGUUUUUAUAGUGCGAGAACAUUUCAGCUUCAAGGUUUUAGUCCGGCGUCUACCGAUUCUAAUGGUACAACUGGCUAAAGGGUUUUGGUUCCGCGCCUACUGAGUCCUUGUUCUAUGUUUUCCUGUAAAUGAUUUGUUUCUUGUAAAAUUUCUGAGCUAUUUCUUUAAACUUUUUGUAUUUCAAAGAAACCCUUAGGCCAGUAUCACUGUAUCAGUGGUCCGUUUCAAUGCACUGUUUCCAAAACAAAUCCGCUGACAAGACAUCAAUGAAACGAAUAAUGAAACAACCUCCACAAUGCAUGAGUUUCACCUUGACGUUUCCUAGGCUGGGCAAUACAUUUAAUUACUGCAAAAUGAUUGGAUCACAUGCAAGAUGGUGAAACGAUUUAUCCCUGAGUGGGGAUUUUAUCCCGUUUUACCGCGUGGGAAACAAUGCCCGUGGAGUUUCACCAUGGUGAAACUACUUCAUUUUCUUUCCUCUUCGUUUCAUGCAAAAAGUGCAGUUUUGCUGACAUUGCGCUCUAAUAAAUGUGCAUGACAUCCUGGUGAAACUCCCAGCCUUAGCGACAAAUUGGGUACCCAUAUUACAAAGAGACCUUUACGCGUGCCUUCAUUUUAUUUUUACAAGCUGAAAACUUAAUCUGGAUCUUCGAGCUAGAGCUACGCCAAUCGCUAUGGUUAUCACCGGAGUUCAAGUAAAAAUAGGUUUUACUUCAGUCUGGGAAAAAAAAAUGUCCCAUACUUGAUUCCUUUUAGUCAAGCCAAAAGCCGCAUUGUCGGUGAGCAACGGCUCCAACUUCACCAAUUUUCGAGCAGAUCAGCUUUUCAUUGCAAGUAGAAUUUUGCUCACACGGUAGGGAGAAAGCGAGUGAAGAUUGUUGAUUGGAACUUGCAUGCAGCUCGAGCUCGUGACAUUAUUGUAGCGGCAGUAGACUAGUACGCAUUCGAUCUCGAAAGAAGCGUACCUUUCAUGCUACAGUCGGUAUCACAACCAGAUUACACCCACAUAAAUCAUACAGAACCCCAACUUACUCAUUUGGCCUCAUUGUCUCUGAUCGCGGCCUGCACGUUGUGGGCACUGGCCGGUCUUGAGAUUUGGUCGAAGGGGUGAUCCACAAGUGUUUAUUUGUUCCAGUGACCUACAUCACGGUGAUUGUCUCACUGAACGCUAAGAUUGGACACCCGUUCCAAGCAUAUUAUGCGACAUGGUUGCUUCACCAAUUUCACAUCAAAUAUUCUUUAUUUCUUGAUGUGAACAGGAGGAGGUGACCCCUACACAUCAAUAUUAUUCUUGUGCAAGCAACUGAGAUGCACUCCAUAUUUAUUUCCAUGUAUCGAUCAUUUGACUCAAAAACUUAAAUCGAAAGAGAAAGAUGAACAAAACAUUUUUCUUUCGAUAAUAUAUUGCGGCGCCCUCACAUGCUGGCUCUCCGCUCUCUCAUGCUUUAAACGACGUGGGAAAGAGUGUGGAAGGGUUUUUGUAUUCAAAUUCUGGCAACCCCUCAACCAGUUCUCGCACGGGCUAGAAAUUAAAAAAAAACAUAAGCAUUAGUUAGGCCUGUUUGAUACAACACCACCAGUUCUUGAAGCUAUAUUGUGCUAAAUGAGUUAAAAAAUAGCUUAAUCUAAGGAGCCCCUUAAAAUCGUGCUCUCACAAAGGUUUGCUACGGUGUGAAGUCAAAAAAAAGUAGCUUCACUUAGCUUCAACCCGCGCUCGUGGUCCCUACUAUAUAGAGAAGUCUAUUUUGCCCCUAUUGGCACUGCUAGGGUGUGCAAGCACAUGCCUAGGUUGUUGGGUUUUUUUUUGAAAAGUGGCUAGGGUGUUGGGUUGCUAGGCCAUCGGGAGCACUGGUGUGGCCAUAGGCGUGUGAAGGUCAUCGGGAUAUGGUCAUGGCCCAGGACACGUGGGGGGGCCCAGGACACGUGGGGGUGCAGUCGUGGAUGCCAAGGCGCGGGGGCACAGCCACGAGGCGCCCAUGCAUGGUCGUGGUCGCCUGGGCUCGCACCAUGAUUACCAUGAAGAUGUGCUCAGAUGCAGGGAAGAAAGAAGCCCAUGAAGUCCAAAGGAUAAGGAAGAAGGAUAUGGAAUAUGAGGAAAAGAAAGAAGGGUAUUAUAGUCAUUUCAUGCUUUUUGGUCUAUCUCUUAGAACAGACCAUGAAAACUGUUUCAACUCCAUCGAUAGAGUUGAUCAUGGAGCUCAAGAAAAAAGAGCAACUUCACUAGUGAAGUGGAGCCAUGCCAAACAGAGCCUUAUUAUUUAAUAUCUCUGACUAAUAAAAAUUACUUAUAUGAAAUUACACACUUUUUCUUGUUUAUUUUCUAACACAAUAUAUAUACGUAAUACAUAAUGUAGUUUUUAUCCAAUUGAAAUAAAGUUACCAAUCAUUGAUCUAUAUGUUUCUUCAUCCAUAUCUAUAGUUUUCCUUUGCAUGGCACCUCUGUGUAUCUUGUCAUGAAUUAAUUUUAAAAUUUUAUUUUUGUUAUCUGCUAUAGAUUUUUUAUUAUCCUAGAGUUAAGUUGAAACUCUGGUAUCUAUUGCACAACUUAUUAACCCUUUUGUAGUUUCACAAAAAGAAGACUUUAGGUCGUAAGACACACUCUUAAAUACUAUGAUGGCAUAAACAGUCAUUUGAAACAUGCACCAUGUCAGAUCUUUGGUCAAGCCUGAAGAGUACUAUUUAAGUCAUAUUAAUGAUUGUUUACUCUUAAGAAACCUAGGAAGGGUACGAAGAUAUACACCUGUGCUCUGCACUAACCUCCCUCGUUUCUCAAGAUGCUUGGAUUUUGUUAUACAUCAAGGAAUUAUAUCUGCAAUAAUGGUUAUAUAUACUAUCAAUACUAUAGUUAUGUAAAAUGCAUUAGUUAAAAUUUAUACAUAUAUAUUUUGUAUGUCAUGGAUAUUAGUAUAAUUUUAAAUGAUUUGUUAGGAUCAUUAAGUAUAUGAUAAACUGCUACGAAAAUGUUUUUCAAGGCAGUUGAAACAUAUAUAUUUUUGAGUGAAAUUGGAGGGGUUUGCACCCCUACGGGAAAAUUUAUUUAAUGAAAACAAGGUUUACAGACCAAAAAAAAAGAAAAACAGGGUAAAGAGUUAAAAGAGUCAUCUAGGAGAGACAAAAGUUAAGAAAGAAAAUACAGCUCAACACUGAGCAGAACCAAGCUAGGAGAGAUUGCUUAUCCAUUGCUCUAAAACAGUUCGGAACCUUCUCUUGACUCUCGGAGAGAGGCAACCUAUUUCACCUCUGAAACUAUCCUUUGAUGACUGCAGGUUUGGAGGUAUUUGAUGAAAAAUCCAAUCAUUUCUGGACUUUCAUAUCGUCCAACACAUUAUGACAACAAUCUCCAUUGAGAAAGGUGUUGAAACAUAUAUAUAUUUAUAGGGUGUUUGGGAUUGCUUCACAAACUCUGCUUUACAAAUUCCACUGUGUAGCAGCUCCACAAAAAACUAGAGUUUGUGGAGUACCUCUUUAGGUGCUUUCACAACUCCACUCUUUUUCUUCGAACUGAGUGCGUGGAGCUAAAAUUAUUUGGCUAAAAAACGUGGAGCAGAGCUAAAAAAAAUGUGGAGGGAGUAGUCCCAAACACCCCCUACUAUUUACUAUCACUUAUGCAUGCAUGUAUACUUGAUCGACGUGAUGGCACACAACAAGUUAUUUUAAAAGUUUAUGUAAUAGAAGAUUUUGGUAAUUUAGAUUAUGUACAUUUUUGGUAAUUUAGAUGGUGUAGAUUUGAGAUGAUAUUUUAAUUUUUCUUAAUAAUUGUAUAAGCGUAAGUUAGAUAUGUGCGAUUACUUUAGACCAUGUUUUAAUGGCAUAUAGAUGGACAAUUUAAAUAUUGAUUUAUGUGUUACUUUAUGAUAUUUUCUUAUAAAUACACAUAAAUAAAACUUGUAGGCGUCAGUCUGUAGGAAAACGAUAUGUAUGUUAUUAUUAUAUCAUCAUGUGCUAUUAUUAUGUGAUGAGAACCCAAAGCUCACAGAUGGGCUUCUGCGCUUUUUCUCAGCUCCGACGGUUGACAGGAACUGGCCCAAUCUCUUCUUAGUCAGGCCGCCUAGGAAGAAACAGCCCGUUCUGUGAAACUACGGACUUGUAGACUUUGUAGUAGUGCAAAUGGUCCAAGCACAUCAUGAAACAAUGGCUAGCAAAGAGGCUCUUAAUGAAAGGAAACGCGAGCUCGAUUCCACGACUGGAAAAGAGCCCAGCACAUCCACAACCAAAACAUGUGGCCCAGAUACACUUCCCAGCGUUUUUUUUGCGACGACUUCCCAGUGCAUUAAGGAGGGGUAAUCAGUGUAUAACAAACCAAUUCAGUUUGAUUUCAUAGGUGAUGAGGAGAAAACUCGGUGUUGGACUUAAAACCGAUCGGUGUAAAUAGCUAUGUUUCAUGGUGGAUCCAGGAUUAAAAUUCAUCGAAUUGUGUUACUACUAAUUUAUAUGGUGGAGCAAUCAUAUAGAAAAUAAAAAAAUAAAAAUGGUUACUUCAUCAAUCUCAAGAUAUGUUAGUUUAGUCAUAGUCCUUUUAGAGGUGUUGUUCUUUGAAUGAUAGGUGAUAUGCUUGUCGACAAUGAGAACUUUAUGGUGACUUUGUCAAUCUCAAAAUUUAUCGAUUUAAUCUCAGUCUUUUUGAGGUGUUGUUCUUUCGAUGGUAUUCCUACUCAUUUUAUAGAGGAUGAUGUUCUCUCUAUAAACUUGAUCAACACAAUUUAACUUAAAACAAACCUAGAAUAGAUUUUUUGUUUGGACGAAUGUAGCAGUUUUAGUGAUGAGAGUGAAAGAAAUUUAUUUUAAAUUUACUUAUAUUAAUAAACUAACUUUUUGUUAAGUCUUUCUUCCCAACAUAUUUAUGAAAAUCGAACUGCAAUUUUUUUUUGAAUUUCAACUUUUUUUUGAAUUUAACUAUUUAUUACCUAUAAUUAGGAGUUAUUUGUUCAGUUUUUUUCUUCUCAAUUAUUUUGAGAACAAACUCUCUUUUUUUUUGGCGGAAUGCUCAUUUUUAAAAUAAUAUGCUUAAAUCUGCGUCUUUUCUAGAUCAGAAAAAAGUGUCGUAGUUUACUUUAAGUUUAUUGUAGAUCUAACUUCUUUGACUUUAACCAACUUUAUAGAAACUGUACCAACAUCUACGACGACAUCAAAUUUAUUCUAUUUUCACAUAAUUUAUUUUAUUUUCAUAUAGACUUGUACAUACUAACAUAUAUUUUAUAAAACUUAGCCAAAAUUAGAAAGUUUUGAUUUAAUACAAAGCUAAAGCUAAAGUCAAUUACGAUUUAUUAGAACAAAGAAGUAAACUAGUUGUGGCGUCGUGUGAUAUACUCCUACCUGCUGUACCAAUAUUGUUCUUUUCUGUUUAACUUCACCCCUUAUUUGCUGCUGGAUUUGCAGUGUAGCAUGCAAGUGCAAAUUAAAACCAACCUGAACCUGAGACUGAAGACAGGAGGGGUUGUGUAAUCAAUCACUCGUCCCUAGCCCUAGCUUUGUUGUGUUAGGGCACUCCCAAUGCAAGACUCUAUCAUAAAGUCCAAGACAAUUAAUUACAUAAUAUUUAUAGUAUUUUGCUGAUGUGGCACCAUAUUUAUUGAAGAAAGAGGUAGAAAAAAUAAGACUCCAAGUCUUAUUUAGUGCACUCCCAAUGCAAGACUCUAUCACAGAGUCCAAAACAAUUAAUUACAUAUUAUUUAUGGUAUUUUGCUGAUGUGGCACCGUAUUUAUUGAAGAAAGAGGUAGAAAAAAUAAGACUCCAAAUCUUAUUUAGACUCCAAGUCCACAUUGUUCGAGGUAAUAAAUAACUUUAGACUCCAUGAUAGAGUCUGCAUUGUGAGUGCUCUUAGACUCCAAGUCCACAUUGUUCGAGGUAAUAAAUGACUUUAGACUCCAUAAUAAAGUCUGCAUUGUGAGUGCCCUUAUCAUUUGGGGCCUGGAGAUCGAUCCAGGACGCCUUCCUGAAAUCUUGAUUGCUUCUCGACACCUGGUCCCUUUGGUUAAGGCCCUGUUUAGUUUUCUAGCAAAAAAUUUUUAUCCAUCCCAUCGAAUCUUUAAACACAUGCAUGAAACAUUAAAUGUAUAUAAAAAAUAAAUUAAUUACACAGUUUGGUUGAAAAUCGCGAGACGAAUCUUUUAAGCCUAGUUAGUCCAUGAUUAGCCUUAAGUGCUACAGUAACCCACAUGUGCUAAUGACAGCUUAAUUAUACUUAAUAGAUUUGUCUUGCAGUUUCCUGAUGAGUUAUGUAAUUUAUUUUUUUUAUUAGUUUCUAAAAAACUCUCCCGAUAUCCUUUUGACAUAUCCGAUGUGACAUCCAAAAAAUUUUCAUCUUCAAUCUAAACAGACCCUAAGCUGUCGCUUUGGCCCAUGCAUGAUCCCUCUCUCCGCUCUGACGACGAUGCGUGCAGCAGACCGUCCGGUUACUGGGGCACUUAAUUAAUUAAAGCCUUCCAAUAAUCCGCUCAACAUCAGGAGGAGAAAGGCUAGUGAUUUUUCUCCUUCAAGUCAUGAUCAUUUUCAGUCGUCUAUACUAUAUAUCUAUCGUGUUCAGAACACUAGUAGCUGAGAUUGGUACAGUACAAGUACAGUACACAAAGUGACGAUCGCCGUCCAUCGGCCUACGGGUAGCAUUGCAUGGCUAAGGGCUCGUUUAGUUCACCCUGGAAACCAAAAAAUUUUCAAGAUUUUCCGUCACAUCGAAUCUUAUGUCACAUGCAUGGAACAUUAAAUAUAGACGAAAACAAAAACUAAUUACACAGUUUAGCUGUAAUCACGAGACGAAUCUUUUGAUCCUAGUCCAUGAUUAGAUAAUAUUUGUCACAAACAAACGAAAAUGCUACGGUACCGAAAACUUUUCACUUUUCGGAACUAAGGCCUUGUUUAGAUGUAAACAGUUUUUGGAUUUUGACACUGUAGCAUUUUCGUCUUUAUUUGACAAACAUUGUCUAAUUAUGGAGUAACUAGGCUUAAAAGAUUCGUCUCGUGAUUUACAGGUAAACUGUGUCAUUAGUUAUUCUUUUUAACUAUAUUUAAUACUUCAUGCAUGUGCUGUAACACUCUCGUGUUAAGCGAAUUAAAAAUGGGACAUGUCAUCAUGAGCAUUGCAUCAAAAAUAUGUUAAGCACACACUAAUGCAUUAACCUAAAAUAAGUUUAUUUUGGAUAAAUGUGUUUAGGAAUUUGAGUGUGUUUAUUUUAUGUGUGGAUGCUUGUUUUGGAGUUUAAAAACGUUGGGUGAGGGUUUUCCGAGAAGCUUAAAGGGGGGAAACCCUAGUUUCCAAAACCCUAGAUUUGCCCCCUUUUGUGCAAUUCAAAAACCAAGCAGAAUUUGAAGUUGAGUUUAAAAGCAAAGUUGUAGAUCUGGUCAAGAUGUACAACUUUGGUGUUUUGAGUUUUUGAAGUUUCAAAACAAAAUUCAAAGUAAUUUUGAAAAUACAGAUUUCCGGAAAAUGUCCCCUUUUCUAAAUUGAAUCUCCAAUUAAAAAUCUGUUUGGAAUUUUGAAAAAUGGUCAACAUAAGAGUUGUAGAGCUUGAAAAGUUGAACAACUUUCAUGUUGGAAGUUUUUCAAGUUGUUGUGUAAAAUCAAAAGUAAUUUCUGAAAUUCUGUUUUGCCCCAAUUCAAAAAUUUGGAAUUAAACUUGAAUUUCAAACUGUUUGGCUCAAAUUCAUCCCUUUCCAUUUCAAAUCUGUCUUUGGUCAUUAAAGAUGUUUUGUAGCUCACAAAAUUUUGCACAAGUUUCUUUUUGGUGAAAAUUUGACUUCAGUUCAACUUUUGGUCGAUUUUUGCAAAACCAGACAAAAAGGGGGGGAUAAGCUUUGGUUCCUGUUCAUGGCGGUGGACACCGGGUCUGGAUCGGUGAAUGCCAGCGCAUGGCCACCGUUUUACCUCGUCCACGCGCGUGUUCACGUCCGUGACGAUGUGGAGCAGCUGCUGGCAACCAGAGGCGCGACGUGCCCUUCUCUUCUGCGAGCACCGACUGCUUUUCCGCCACCGGAGCACCGAGGAGCAGUAUCACGUCCUCAUCCAAAUUGGCCGUGCUCGAUCCUCCUCGCAUCAAAUUGAGCCGUCCACGAUGAUCGCCACCUCCUUGCGAAUCCAGAACACCACCAAGCUCGCCCCAUAACCCUCUCAGUCGCCGGGACACCUCCAUCCUCUCCAACUCCGAUCAAGACCGCCGCCGUGGGUCUUUUCCCGUGGCCACGGUGUUCUGCUCGAUAUCAUGCUUAUCCAGCCGUUGUUUCAAGUUCUACUUGUGUUCUAGUAGCUCAUGCGCUCUCUCUUUUGCUUUGGGCACGAACAGAAUCGCCGGGACGAGCUCGCCGGAGCCGGAGCGCCCGCCCGAUCGCACUGUCUUCGUCGCCAGCAACUUCAGCUGCUUCUCCCGCCGUGGUGAAGUGAGCAUCGUGUUCCUUACACCACCUUGAACCUCCCUAUGCCUUUCGUUUGCUCUCUACCGGGUCCUAGUGGCCGGCCGACCGUCGGCCAUGGCGACCGCCCGCUCCUAUCGUAGCCGGGGUGGUAGCAGUGCGGUAGAGCGUCCGCGAGUGGUACCAAUGGAGUCGCGGAGUUGAGGCGGAGCCGAUGCGCACGCGCGCGGAGGCCAAGAGCCUCGCUAUCGGUCGUCGGAGUCGCGGCCGAGCCGCCGCGCGUGAACGGGACGGAGCUGACAGGUGGGGUAUAUCUGUCAGCGUCCUGCGUGAGGGAGAGGGCGCGGGCGCGCGCAGCGUGGAUGCGGGCCGAGUUGGAAUGGGCCGGCCUGCGGCCCAGUUUCCGGGUCAUCCACUGUGCAGUUCUUUUUCUUUUUCUUUUUGUGCAGUUUAUGAUAUAUGUUUGAAUUUGUGUAGUAAAUUUUGUGCUAAUCCAAAAAAUUUUGAGAAUUUUUGUAUGGCUUCCUUAAAAUGAGUAGAACACAUGAAAAAUAUUAGGUUCUAUUUUCUGAUAGUUUGCAUGUGUAUUUAAAUUGCCUUUGUUUAUUAAUGAAUAAACCUUCCAUGAUUUUUAGUAAAUUAUGGGUAUAUCCAAAAAUCAUGAAAUUUAAUAUGUGAGCUUGUGUUAAUGUUAUUUAGCUUCAUGAUUAAUUUCAGCUCUGUUUGAUAAAAUAUGCUCUGUCUAUUAAUAAAGUUAUUUAAAAUGCUUAUAAAAGAAAUAGAAAUAAUUAAUCCCUUUAGGGUUUGGGUGAUAUUUUGGAUUGUUUGACAACCAUGGUCACUUAGCAUGAUAUGCUCCCUGGUUAUGGUUUAUUUUCAUAUAAAUAAUCUUUAUGGUAUAAUAGAUUCACAGUUUUGCUUAAUAAAAAUCAUAAAGUUUGUUUAGUAGCGAGUUAUGCUUUGAUAACUAGAUUAAUGAGUUUCUUUACCAUGAAGGUAAAGUGUACUCAAGAUAGUCAUGUUUAUUGUUGUCAUCCAAGAACAUGUAACCUGUCUUUAUCAUGCCAUGAGUAUAUCAUAAUCAUGCAUAUGCAUUUUUACGUAUAGAAUACGCUCCGGAAGAAUCUGAUCCUCAGUGGAUUUCUUCCGAGUUUGUGGAUCCUUCGGGUGUUGUUGAAUUGCCGAACGUCUCCUCCGACCAAGGCAAGCCCCGGACAUUAAACCCUAUCCUUGUAUUUUCAUAAAGUUAUUUAUAUCACUUGAGUUAAUAUGAUGCAUUAGGUGAAUACGAGUUGAGUGAAUCCUAUUUGCUGCAUUAUCUACCUUGAUGAUUUCAAUAUCUACCUUGGUACUUGCUUUAUGAAAAUGUUUAGUAUGCUUAGCCCCGCUUAUUAGAUAAGUUUUUUUAAAUGCAAGAGUUUGAAGGGUUGUUGUGGAAUACUCUUCUAGUUAAUGAUGUUCAAAUUGAGACCGGUCGGUGGACUUGCUUUAAGAAUGGAGUCUUAAAGUAGUGUUUCCAACUGUGUCGAUUAAGGACCGUACCGUUGAUUGGCCUGUUGUGAUUGAGACCUUUGAGUACAGCCCACAUGCGGCGGUAAGCCUUACCUAUAGCUAUUCCGAUACUUGAGAACGGCUAACCGCGUACUGGGAGUGGAAAGAUGGCGAGAGUAGCGUGUACCCACCUUACGGAUCUGAGAUGACCGGGAAACAUCUAGAUUGGCUGUAGGAUGGUGGUGUACUGUACUCUCGGGUGACGCUGGACCCGUUCUUGUAUGGGAGGAUCUAUAGAAAAGGUUGACAUAUGCAAGAUUAAGUUCUACAUAUGUCGUGUGGUACUGAAUCCCCAGCUGGGUUUAAUCGAUUCGAAUCGCCGUGUUUCCUCGGAUAUGGAGCCUCAAUCCUCGUACCAUCAUCGUAGUAAUAAGUGAAUCUUUGGUAUAAGAAAGAGAUGAGUUGUUUAUGCAAGUUGGAUAAUGAUCUUGGCUAGUUAUAAGUGAUAAUCUUGAGUUAAAACUUGAAAGUAGGCUUUAAUCUUAGUAAGCUUUUAUGCAAAAGAAAUACUUGAUCUUGUGAAAGCUUUACCUUGAAUCCCCAUAGCCUGCAUACUUGAGUCUUCACCUCUUUUAUAGUCGGUUAAGUCUUGUUGAGUACUUUCGUACUCAGGGUUUUAUUAACCCAUGUUGCAGGUGAAUCUCUUGAUUAUCUUUUCGAUGGUCAUGGUUACUUUACUCUUGUUGAGGAAAGUGACGAUGAGGUUUCUGAUGUGUGACCUUGGGCAAGUAAAAGUCGUUGUGUGAAUCUAUGGUUUAUGUAAUAAUAAAGUUCCGAAGCCUUUAUGUAUCAAAUACUUAUGGUUUGUAAACUAUGAACUUAAGUUUCAAACUAUGUUAUGUAACCUUUCCGCUUUUACUCUGAUUUCUCUUAUCUAUGAAAUGUUGUAAUACUGUGAUGCUUGAUGAGGGAAUUCCUGAAAAGAAUGUUACGUGGAUGAUUCGGGUUUCCCGAGGACACCCGACAGACUUCUUGAGUCAUUUGGAACUCGUGCACGUCGAUCAGAAGUCUUUGGGACAAUGAUGUGUGCAUGUGGGCCACUUAAUUCAGGAGGUUCUGCCACAGCUGGUAUCAGAGCAGGUUUCCCUUAGAAAGUAUAGCAGUAUUCGAUUUUGAAAACUUCAAAAGCUUUUGAGUCAAACUAAAUUCCAAAUUAGUUUGAGUCCAAAUUGCUUCUAAGCUUGUCUUAUGCUUCUAACUUGUCUCAAUUCAUUCUUUAGACUUAUCCUUCUAUCCAAUUGGAUAUGUUCUUAGUAUAAUUAUGGUGAUAUCUAUAUACAAGGAACGAUGCUUAUAAUGUUAUAAUAUUGCCCUAUUUAUGAAAAGAAUGUUUAUGCACUUUUAUAUCAAGUGACUAAUUUAAAGAUAAUUACUUGUUUGAUGUAUGCUUUGUUCGUAAGUACGCUUCAUGCAUCAUUAAUGAUAACAUGUAAUUAACUUUCCUCCUUAAAGUUGUUAAUAACUAGGGGUAAUAUGUCCAUCUAAUUGUAAAACUCUAUCCUUUAACCUUGGAACAUAUAUAGUUCUAAUAUUCAAAAUAAAAAUAUUUUGGCAGAUGGCUCGUACCCGUCUAACCGCUCGCAAGUCCACCGGAGGUCGUGUCCCCAGGCACCAGUUGGCAUCAAGGGAUCCGCCACCCUCCGAUAGCAGCGACAGCAGCACUGACAACUCCAGCGACGGAAACGGGAGUGACACCAGCGGAGGUCCUCCUUCGCCAAGGACCUACAGGCUUAUGAAGAAUGAUCUGCGCCUGAUGCUCACUGACAACAUCAACAUGGAAGUUCAGCUGUACCAUAUGGCAGGGUAUGUGGUCACUCUUGAGGCUUAUGCCAACACCCUCCAUGAGGAAGUGCACCAGCUGCAGGAUGCCCUCAAUCCACCCGAGGCUCCUGAAGCAGCAGAGGAAGGACCAGUUGUCAUCCAAGUGGAUAGUGAUACUUCUGAGGAUGAAGCAGAGGAACCAGGAACCCCCACUCCAGAUGAGGGUGUUACCACCAGUGAGUCGGAGAUGGAUGACGACUAGGUGUUGAGAAGGCAAGAAGUAUGACCGAGUGUGAUCUUCUGACUUUGUAACUUAGUUAGUCAGAAAACCUCUAGUAUGGGAAGUGUGUAAGAUAGUGGUUUCGGAAGUCCUGCCCAGGAGCGGACUUGUAUGAUAAAUAAGAUGAACUGUUUGUGUUAUGUAAGCCAUGAGGUAUGAUGUUUAAGUAAGUAUGUUAAUCGAAGUAUGAUGUGUUUUUAAACAGAUGUCUGCUAACAACCAUGGAGCUAGUUCUUCCCAGGGUGGGGAUGAUUUUCCUAAUGCACCACCAGUUCCACCCUCUUUGGCUGAUGCAAUUGCAGCAUUGGUCAAUGCAACAACUCUGUUAGCACAAAAUCAGAAUGCUGGUCAGCGUGGCCGUGGUCGCCAUAACAGAGAAGAAACCACAUAUGUUGACUUCACAGAUACUCGUCCCCCAGUAUUCACAAAAGCUGAUGAACCUCUUGAAGCUGAGGAUUGGCUUCGCACUAUGGAGCAAAAGUUCAGUCUCAUCAACUGUACUGAAACUCAGAAGCCAGCUUUUGCCGCUCAGCAGCUGAGAGGAGCAGCAGGAGUUUGGUGGGAAAAUUUACUAGCUGUUCAACCAGCCCGCCACCGAAUCACUUGGGGAGAAUUCAAGGAAGCCUUCAGGGCUCAUUACAUUCCCAAAGGAGUUAUGAAAAUGAAGCUCGAAGAGUUCUUAGCUCUCCGUCAGGGGGAUGACUCAGUUAUACAGUAUAUUGGAAAGUUUAAUCAUCUGUCCCAAUAUGCAAUUGAGCAAGUCAACACUGAUGAAAAGAAGAAGGAUUGUUUCAUGAGAGGUUUGAAUACAAAGCUUCAGCUGAUGAUGGCAUCAUGUGGCAAUAUAUCUUAUCAUGAGGCAGUGAACAUUGCUAUCUCCAGUGAAGAAAAGAAUCGCAAACAUAAGGAGGCUAAGAAGAAGAAGGGGUUUGUCUCAGGGUCUGGAUCAUCUGGCGGCAACAAGAAGCGUCAGAGGCUUGUAUAUCACCCAGCUCAGCAGUUCCGCCCAUCUUAUCGCCCUCCUUAUCAGCCGUCUCAGCAGCAGAAUAUGCAGAGGAAUUUUGCAAGGCCGACAAUGCCAUUCAAUGUUCAACGUCAGCCAAAUGUUCCUGCCGUCCGUCCGCCAAUGUCACAAGCUGUAAACAACCCUUGUUACAAUUGUGGGAAGAGUGGACAUUUUUCUCGUGAAUGUCCAUAUCCAAGGCAAAAUAUUCCAAAUGCCAAUGCACCAAGACCAGUUGGAAAUCAGCAAGCAAAUCCCAACAAAGGUAAUGUCCAGAAUCAGCAGAAGGGUAAGGGUACUCAGAAAACAGGAAGGGUUUUCCAUACUCAAGUUGAAGCUAUACCUGAGGGAGAGCCAGUGAUGCUUGGUAUGUUCCCUGUUGCCCAACACCCAGCACUUACACUUUUUGAUUCUGGAGCAUCACAUACUUUCAUGAAUAGAGCAUUUGCGGAAAAGUAUAAUAUACCUAUUGGUGCAACCAAAGAUGAGUUCUUUAUACAGUCACCUGGGGGUCGACUAUGCACUAAGGAAAUGGUACAUCAGGUGCCAAUAGACUUGGGUGGAUAUAUAUUUCCAACAUCCAUGAUAGUGUUAAAAGAUCCAAGUAUAGAUGUGAUCUUGGGUAUGAACUGGAUGAGUCAGAGAGGUGCAGUUAUAGACACCUUAAAUAGAACUAUCAGGGUCAACUUACCUAAUAGUAAAUCUCAACUUCUUAUCCAUCUUCCUACCCUUAAGAGAGCAGUUGAGCAAGUAUGUGCUACCUCGGUUAAGGAAAUCAAGGAUAUUCCAGUGGUCUGUGAGUUUCCUGAUGUGUUUCCAGAAGAUUUACCUGGUCUGCCACCGGAUCGUGAUGUGGAGUUUGAAAUAGAGCUCAAGCCAGGGACAGCACCAAUAUCUAGAAGAGCUUAUAGAAUGCCACCAAAAGAGUUAGCAGAAUUAAAAACUCAGUUGCAAGAAUUGAUGGAUAAAGGUUUUAUUCGACCUAGUUCAUCACCCUGGGGUUGUUCGGCAAUCUUUGUGAAGAAAAAGGACCAUACCUUAAGGCUAU